CGAGGGAUCACCAACCAGAGGAUUGUUGGAAGCUUCGAAAUUCAUCAAUGGACCAAGGAAGGAUUUUAUGCUCAAGAUUUAUAGUUUGUUCAUGUUUUACUCUCCUACUUAGUUUGUUAAUUUUUGAGUUACUUUUAACGUUGAUUUUAUCCAAAACUUCGUCGCACAACUACUUUAUUGUUAGCAUUGUCACAAUCGUUUUUGGCACCAUUGAAAUUGCUUUAGCAUGUGCAAUUAUCUGCUUAACGCGCAGAGAACUCAAACAACAAGCAAGAGUUGCACCUGAAUCAAUUUUAGAAGAUUAAGCUAUGGAUUUUCGAUUUGCAUCUAUUGUUAUUUUGAUUAUUUUGGCAUUAUGUAUUCUGGAUUAUGCUGCUCAGAAGCAAUAUAAAUAUUAUUG
rnacentral:lncRNA from 1 species